rnacentral:rRNA from 1 species
ACUCCUGCGGGAGGCAGCAGUGGGGAAUUUUGGACAAUGGGCGAAAGCCUGAUCCAGCAAUGCCGCGUGCAGGAUGAAGGCCUUCGGGUUGUAAACUGCUUUUGUACGGAACGAAAAAGCUCCUUCUAAUACAGGGGGCCCAUGACGGUACCGUAAGAAUAAGCACCGGCUAACUACGUGCCAGCAGCCGCGGUAAUACGUAGGGUGCGAGCGUUAAUCGGAAUUACUGGGCGUAAAGCGUGCGCAGGCGGUUAUGUAAGACAGAUGUGAAAUCCCCGGGCUCAACCUGGGAACUGCAUUUGUGACUGCAUGGCUAGAGUACGGUAGAGGGGGAUGGAAUUCCGCGUGUAGCAGUGAAAUGCGUAGAUAUGCGGAGGAACACCGAUGGCGAAGGCAAUCCCCUGGACCUGUACUGACGCUCAUGCACGAAAGCGUGGGGAGCAAACAGGAUUAGAAACCCCGGUAGUCCCAUG